CCUACGGGUGGCAGCAGUGGGGAAUAUUGCACAAUGGGGGAAACCCUGAUGCAGCGACGCCGCGUGAGUGAAGAAGUAUCUCGGUACGUAAAGCUCUAUCAGCAGGGAAGAAAAUGACGGUACCUGACUAAGAAGCCCCGGCUAACUACGUGCCAGCAGCCGCGGUAAUACGUAGGGGGCAAGCGUUAUCCGGAUUUACUGGGUGUAAAGGGAGCGUAGUCGGCAGCAGAAGUCUGGAGUGAAAUCCCGGGGCUUAACCCCGGAACUGCUUUGGAAACUGUGCUGCUGGAGUGCAGGAGGGGUAAGCGGAAUUCGUGGUGUAGCGGUGAAAUGCGUAGAUAUUAGGAGGAACACCGAUUGCGAAGGCAGCUUACUGGACUGUAACUGACGUUGAGGCUCGAAAGCGUGGGGAGCGAACAGGAUUAGAUACCCGAGUAGUC
rnacentral:rRNA from 1 species